UACGUAGGGAGCGAGCGUUGUCCGGAAUCAUUGGGCGUAAAGAGCAUGUAGGUGGAUCAAUUAGUCUGCUGUGAAAGUCAAAGGCUCAACCUUUGAAAGCCGGUGGAUACUGUUGAUCUAGAGUACGGAAGAGGCGGAGUGGAAUUCCUGGGUGUAGCGGUGGAAUGCGCAGAUAUCAGGAGGAACACCAAUAGCGAAGGCAGCUCGCUGGGACGUUACUGACACUGAGAUGCGAAAGCGUGGGGAGCAAACAGG
rnacentral:rRNA from 1 species